GGGUAAUAUCAUUAAGAAAAACCCAUGUUCUUUGGCGGCCUUAAAUCUUUUUAGAGGAACUUGUCUCAUCUCGAUACUACGCGUUAUAUUUAACUUUUUUUAACGUUUUUAUACCGCCGUCUUAAGUCUUAUCUUAAAAUUUAAUUCACAAAAACACACUUUCGUAAGUCAGGUCAAGGUGAAGCAUAUAAAAAAGUUCAUUGAUGAGUUACAUAUAAAAUGAAUUUAAAGACCAUUAUCUAAAGAUAAAAUUAAUAAGGAUUUAACAGUAAUAUUUAAGGUAAUUCCUUAAUUUGAAAAAGCAAAAAAGGUGU
rnacentral:rRNA from 1 species